ACAGCAUAGACUUCAGCAUGAGCUGUACAAGACUUCCUGGAGCCCUGGGUAGUUACUCAGGUACCUAACUCAUGCUGAAGCCCAUACUGAUAUGGCUUCACUUCUCUGCUAUUGGAGCAAGAUAGACUAAAGCUAUCUCAGAACUGGCCUACAAAUCCCAGGAGAACAGAUAUUCCUGAUGUUAUUGGUUUCCAGUUGGACCAGAAAUAUUGGGCCAAACUCAAGCCUGACAUAAGGCACAACUCCUGUAAUUUCAUUGGUUUAAGCCAAAACUGGAUAUGGUUCAUGACUAAUGGUAGCACACAUCUGGAUAUUGAAGCUUCUGCAUAUAAGAAUGUCACAGACAUGACAAGAUGAGUUCUGAAAAUUGCAUACUUGGUAGAGACCUAAUAUGAAAGUUCACAAAGACUGUUCCUGUUGUAUUUUGGAGACAAUCAAAAUCAGGGAGUACCAGAGAUCUUAAAAGAUACACUGCUCUUAUAAUAUUUCUGCCAAAUUUUACAGACUUAAGUGGUUCAGAUGAGCUUUGAGUAAACAUCCAAACCUGUGGGUGAUUAUCCAUACUGAAACCAAGCUCUAAUUCUUGUAUGGUUCACCCAUUAUCACUAAUCUUCUCUGGUUCAUGCAGAUCCCACUUUUCUAUUGAAUGAAAAUCUUCUGUAGUAUAGAGCCAAUGACCCAUAACUGACCACUUUGAAAAAGGUAAUACU